AGCCCCGUACACAAAAGCGCAUGUGCUGUGAGCUCGAUGAGUAGGGCGGGACACGUGGUAUCCUGUCUGAAUAUGGGGGGACCAUCCUCCAAGGCUAAAUACUCCUGACUGACCGAUAGUGAACCAGUACCGUGAGGGAAAGGCGAAAAGAACCCCGGCGAGGGGAGUGAAAAAGAACCUGAAACCGUGUACGUACAAGCAGUGGGAGCCCCACCACCAAAGCAUUCUCUGGUGUUGAAGGCCCUGCAAAGCAGCAUCGCGGUGGCGGAGCGUCGUUUGCGACGCCCGACACACAAAACAAGCGGUGAGUGCUUUGGGGUGGGGUGACUGCGUACCUUUUGUAUAAUGGGUCAGCGACUUAUAUUCUGUAGCAAGGUUAACCGUAUAGGGGAGCCGGAGGGAAACCGAGUCUUAAUUGGGCGUUAAGUUGCAGGGUAUAGACCCGAAACCCGGUGAUCUAGCCAUGGGCAGGUUGAAGGUUGGGUAACACUAACUGGAGGACCGAACCGACUAAUGUUGAAAAAUUAGCGGAUGACCUGUGGCUGGGGGUGAAAGGCCAAUCAAACCGGGAGAUAGCUGGUUCUCCCCGAAAGCUAUUUAGGUAGCGCCUCGUGAAUUCAUCUCCGGGGGUAGAGCACUGUUUCGGCUAGGGGGUCAUCCCGACUUACCAACCCGAUGCAAACUGCGAAUACCGGAGAAUGUUAUCACGGGAGACACACGGCGGGUGCUAACGUCCGUCGUGAAGAGGGAAACAACCCAGACCGCCAGCUAAGGUCCCAAAGUCAUGGUUAAGUGGGAAACGAUGUGGGAAGGCCCAGACAGCCAGGAUGUUGGCUUAGAAGCAGCCAUCAUUUAAAGAAAGCGUAAUAGCUCACUGGUCGAGUCGGCCUGCGCGGAAGAUGUAACGGGGCUAAACCAUGCACCGAAGCUGCGGCAGCGACACUGUGUGUUGUUGGGUAGGGGAGCGUUCUGUAAGCCUGUGAAGGUGGCCUGUGAGGGUUGCUGGAGGUAUCAGAAGUGCGAAUGCUGACAUAAGUAACGAUAAAGCGGGUGAAAAGCCCGCUCGCCGGAAGACCAAGGGUUCCUGUCCAACGUUAAUCGGGGCAGGGUGAGUCGACCCCUAAGGCGAGGCCGAAAGGCGUAGUCGAUGGGAAACGGGUUAAUAUUCCCGUACUUGGUGUUACUGCGAAGGGGGGACGGAGAAGGCUAUGUUGGCCGGGCGACGGUUGUCCCGGUUUAAGCGUGUAGGUGUGUGUUCCAGGUAAAUCCGGUUCACUUUAACACUGAGGCGUGACGACGAGGCACUACGGUGCUGAAGCAACAAAUGCCCUGCUUCCAGGAAAAGCCUCUAAGCAUCAGGUAACAUCAAAUCGUACCCCAAACCGACACAGGUGGUCAGGUAGAGAAUACCAAGGCGCUUGAGAGAACUCGGGUGAAGGAACUAGGCAAAAUGGUGCCGUAACUUCGGGAGAAGGCACGCUGACACGUAGGUGAAGUGAUUUACUCA
rnacentral:rRNA from 1 species